rnacentral:tRNA from 1 species
AAAUAAAUAAUUUUAAUAAGAAGUAAUAAUUACAUAUUAAUUUCGACUUAAUAAAUAGAUAAAUUAAAUAUCCUUAUUU